CGCCGCUUUCCAAAAAUUGCCCCCAUCUUGCAAACCACUUCACUCACACCGCCGUCGAUCCAUUUUCUCCGGCGAUUUCUCCUCCAAUGGCGACGGCGACUGCGGAGCGGAUUCAGCUCGCGAAGCUCUGCAGCUGCAAGGAUUGGUCAAAGGCUAUCUGGAUUCUCGAUUCACUCCUUGCACAGUCAUGCGCCAUUCAGGAUCUUUGCAAUCGAGCUUUCUGCAAUAGCCAAUUGGAGUUGCACAAGCACGUUGUCAAGGACUGCAAUAAGUCGCUGCAGCUCGGUCGAUUCAUUCUUCCAGAAUUAUCAGGUAGUGCCUCCUGUACAAGCUGAAGAAGAGGAUGAUGAUGAAGGAGUAGAAGAAGAUGACAACAUUGUCGAGGCACAUGAGGAAGAAGACGUUCAGAGCAUCUGUAUCCAACCUCGACCUGCUGCAGAGGGUUCAUCACGAGGCGGGGUUGGGAAGCUCGUGAGCAAAGUGUACAAGAGAUUGUCCUCCAGGAAGAAUAAGGGGGUUGAACCGUCAAAAUAUACUCCAUCAGCGUAUAAGUAGCAAUUUUUCAGGAAGUCAGGCAGUGAAGAAUGAGGGUGUAAUUGUCCCAGGCAUGAUGGUGGAAUUGCUCGAAUUGAUGGAACUGAUUGUGCAUUUGUUGCAUAUGACAUGAUAUUUGGAUAUGUAUGUUAUGGUUUGGUGCUCAAAUUCAUGUUAUUUAUGUUCAAUUAUGUCAUGUUUAUCUUAUAUUCUU